rnacentral:rRNA from 1 species
GACGAACGCUGGCGGCGUGCUUAACACAUGCAAGUCGAACGGAAAGGCCCUGCUUUUGUGGGGUGCUCGAGUGGCGAACGGGUGAGUAACACGUGAGUAACCUGCCCUUGACUUUGGGAUAACUUCAGGAAACUGGGGCUAAUACCGGAUAGGAGCUCCUGCUGCAUGGUGGGGGUUGGAAAGUUUCGGCGGUUGGGGAUGGACUCGCGGCUUAUCAGCUUGUUGGUGGGGUAGUGGCUUACCAAGGCUUUGACGGGUAGCCGGCCUGAGAGGGUGCCCGGCCACAUUGGGACUGAGAUACGGCCCAGACUCCUACGGGAGGAAGCAGUGGGGAAUAUUGCACAAGGGGCGGAAGCCUGAGGCAGCAACGCCGCGGGCGGGAUGACGGCUUUCGGGUUGUAACCCGCUUUCGCCUGUAACGAGGCGUGAGUGACGGUAAUGGGAAAAGAAGCACCGGCUAACUACGU